UACGAGGAGAAAAGGCUGAUUUGUCACAGUCAUCUAAAGGAAAAUGCUCGAAUAAGAAACCAAGUUCAGUGAAUAAGAAGCUGCCGAAUAAGAAACCGACUUGAGCCUCCUCAGGCUGGCAUCUUAUAACCCAUGUAGGUGUCCUGGUGGUCAGUCAGAUGCCAGCUGCCCUUGGCUGUGUGGUGAUGAGGAUGUGUUGUGUGUGAGACGUGAUGCCCUCCCGCCUGCAGCAUUUGUGAUAGGCGGCUGCCUGUUAGUCCAGCCCAGGCUUUCCUCCUCUCCUCAGCAGUAGCGGUGGCGGCGGCAGCAGCACUGAUCCUCCUCUUCCUCCUCCUCCUUCCCGGCUGGUAUUGUUUAUGAGUAGUGGCUCCUGGUCGUGCUUCCUCAUCUGCCGGCACAUCGCUCUCCCUGCCGCCAGGUUCCCCGCCACGGGGCGUCAGUCUGUAGCCUCUGGAGCGGCGCUCCGGGGCCGGGACGGGCUCCCUUCUCCAGGCGGCACCGAGGACAGGAGGAGGGCACCGCACUGACACAAAGGUUUUAUGCUGUAUCCCAGAGCUGCAUGGAAUAAGCCUAACAACGGUUGGUUGUGGAAAACAAUACAUCACCAGAUUAAUCUGACCUUUGGAGUGUGAAAUUGCUAAAGGCGGAUCUAUUAGAAACAGCUUCCUUGACUUCAUUUCAUCGUGGAAGAAAAGAAUUUAAGUUCUAAGUGUUUUCAGAGG